CGAAAUUUGGUGAUUAUAUAUUUUUUAGUUUUGAACAUAAUUAUUUAGGGGUCCUAUUAAUUAAAAAAAAUUUAAGAAUAAAGAUUAUAGAUCGGACCAAAUUAUAUCUGAUUUGAAAGAAAUAUUGCGAGAUAAACCCAAAGGUUAAUUUUUUGGGUUUGGUUAAAGAUUAAACUAUAGGUUAAUUGUUUAAGAUGAGAAGUGUCUAAAAAUAAAAAGUGUUACAACUUUAAUAUAAUAGUUUGUUUUCUUGUAAAACUUUUUUAAUCAUAAUUCCUUAAUAUAUUGAUAGAAUAAGUAUAUAAAAUGGGUCAUAUUAACUCGAUACUUUUACAACUGUUUAUCAAAAACAUUUCCUUUAGAAUAUAUUUAAAGGUAUUACCUGCUCAUGUAGUAUUAUAAAUAGCUGCGGUAUCCUAACUGCACUAAGGUAGCAUAAUUAAUUGUCUUUUAAAUGGUGACUUGUUUGAAUGGUUUAAUGAGAAAAGGAUUUUGUUUGGUCCAAAAAGAAUUUAUAUUUUAGGGUUAAAAUACCUAAAUUGUAAAGAAAGACGAGAAGACCCUGUUGAGUUUUACAUUUAUAUGUUAAAUGUUUAAAUGGGAAAUUUAAUUCCUUUAUGGAAUUUAAUAGAUCCUAAAAAAGUUUGGAAAAAGGAUAAAAUUACCACAGGGAUAACAGGACUAUAUUUUCUGAGAGUUCUAAUUGAAGAAAGUGUUUGUUACCUCGAUGUUGAAUCGAAAUAACUUUUUGGUGCAGUAGUCAAAUAAGUAGGUCUGUUCGACCUUUAAAAUUUCACG
rnacentral:rRNA from 1 species